UACGGAGGGCGCAAGCGUUGUUCGGACUCACUGGGCGUAAAGCGCGCGUCGGCGGCCGGGCAAGUCGGAUGUGAAAUCCCGAGGCUCAACCUCGGAACUGCAUUCGAAACUGCCCGGCUCGAGUCCCGGAGAGGAUGGCGGAAUUCCCGGUGUAGGGGUGAAAUCCGUAGAUAUCGGGAGGAACACCAGUGGCGAAGGCGGCCGUCUGGACGGUGACUGACGCUGAGAUGCGAAAGCGUGGGGAGCAAACAGG
rnacentral:rRNA from 1 species